AUAUUCACAGCUCUGAAGCGCACUAGAUAUUGUUUGAUGGGAGAGCCCCCAUCGUCUUGGUUGAUCCAUUGGACCUUCAUCUCGUUGCCUGUGGACAGUGGCUUAACCUCCAGUUUAGGAGGAUCGGCAUACUCACUAAGGUCGGCAGUGGUUGGAGGAAUGGAAGUUGGAGUCUCUGAAGACACUGGAAGAUGGUGAGAACAUGGUUGGGUUUUAAAGCUCUCAGGGGGGCUGCUUUCUCCUGCACCCUUGCCGUUGAUGGCAGACAUCUUGACCUCAUACGUGGUCUCUGGCUUCAGUCCAACAAUGGUGAUCGAGCUG